rnacentral:rRNA from 1 species
GUAGGGAAUCUUCCGCAAUGGACGAAAGUCUGACGGAGCAACGCCGCGUGAACGAUGAAGGUUUUCGGAUCGUAAAGUUCUGUUGUUAGGGAAGAACCGCCGGGAUAACCUCCCGGUCUGACGGUACCUAACGAGAAAGCCCCGGCUAACUACGUGCCAGCAGCCGCGGUAAUACGUAGGGGGCAAGCGUUGUCCGGAAUUAUUGGGCGUAAAGCGCGCGCAGGCGGCUUCUUAAGUCAGGUGUGAAAGCCCACGGCUCAACCGUGGAGGGCCAUCUGAAACUGGGAAGCUUGAGUGCAGGAGAGGAGAGCGGAAUUCCACGUGUAGCGGUGAAAUGCGUAGAGAUGUGGAGGAACACCCGUGGCGAAGGCGGCUCUCUGGCCUGUAACUGACGCUGAGGCGCGAAAGCGUGGGGAGCAAACAGGAUUAGAAACCCUUGUAGUCC